rnacentral:misc_RNA from 1 species
GAUGAAGAACGCAGCGAAAUGCGAUAAGUAAUGUGAAUUGCAGAAUUCAGUGAAUCAUCGAAUCUUUGAACGCACCUUGCGCCCUUUGGACAUUCCGAAGGGCAUGCCUGUUUGAGUAUCAUGAACACCUCAACUCUCACGGCUUGUCCGUGAUGAGCUUGGACUUUGGGGGUCUUGCCGGCCUGUGGUCGGCUCCUCUCAAAUGGAUCAGCUUGCCAGUGUUUGGUGGCAUCACAGGUGUGAUAACUAUCUGCGCUUGUGGUUUUCCAUCAGAUAACCUUCAGUGAUAUGGAGGUUCGCUGGAGCUCACAAAUGUCUCUCCUUAGUGAGGACAGCUCUUUGAACGUUUGAUCUCAAAUCAGGUAGGACUACCCGCUGAACUUAAGCAUAUCAAUAAGCGAGGA